AGAGGUUGCUUCUGGCUCAGGAUGAACGCUAGCUACAGGCUUAACACAUGCAAGUCGAGGGGCAGCAUGACCUACCAAUAGGUUGAUGGCGACCGGCGCACGGGUGAGUAACACGUAUCCAACCUACCGGUUAUUCCGGGAUAGCCUUUCGAAAGAAAGAUUAAUACCGGAUAGUAUAACGAGAAGGCAUCUUUUUGUUAUUAAAGAAUUUCGAUAACCGAUGGGGAUGCGUUCCAUUAGUUUGUUGGCGGGGUAACGGCCCACCAAGACAUCGAUGGAUAGGGGUUCUGAGAGGAAGGUCCCCCACAUUGGAACUGAGACACGGUCCAAACUCCUACGGGAGGCAGCAGUGAGGAAUAUUGGUCAAUGGACGAGAGUCUGAACCAGCCAAGUAGCGUGAAGGAUGACUGCCCUAUGGGUUGUAAACUUCUUUUAUAUGGGAAUAAAGUGAGCCACGUGUGGCUUUUUGUAUGUACCAUACGAAUAAGGAUCGGCUAACUCCGUGCCAGCAGCCGCGGUAAUACGGAGGAUCCGAGCGUUAUCCGGAUUUAUUGGGUUUAAAGGGAGCGUAGGCGGACUAUUAAGUCAGCUGUGAAAGUUUGCGGCUCAACCGUAAAAUUGCAGUUGAUACUGGUCGUCUUGAGUGCAGUAGAGGUAGGCGGAAUUCGUGGUGUAGCGGUGAAAUGCUUAGAUAUCACGAAGAACUCCGAUUGCGAAGGCAGCUUACUGGACUGUAACUGACGCUGAUGCUCGAAAGUGUGGGUAUCAAACAGGAUUAGAUACCCUGGUAGUCCACACAGUAAA
rnacentral:rRNA from 1 species